GAUGAACGCUAGCGGCAGGCCUAACACAUGCAAGUCGAGGGGUAGAACACUUCGGUGUUUGAGACCGGCGCACGGGUGCGUAACGCGUAUGCAAUCUACCUUAUACAGGGGAAUAGCCCAGAGAAAUUUGGAUUAAUGCCCCAUAGCAUUACGACUUGGCAUCAAGAUGUAAUUAAAGUUCCAACGGUAUAAGAUGAGCAUGCGUCCCAUUAGUUAGUUGGUAAGGUAACGGCUUACCAAGACAAUGAUGGGUAGGGGUCCUGAGAGGGAGAUCCCCCACACUGGUACUGAGACACGGACCAGACUCCUACGGGAGGCAGCAGUGAGGAAUAUUGGUCAAUGGGCGCAAGCCUGAACCAGCCAUGCCGCGUGCAGGAAGACGGUCCUAUGGAUUGUAAACUGCUUUUAUACAGGAAGAAACAUCCCGACGUGUCGGGACUUGACGGUACUGUAGGAAUAAGGAUCGGCUAACUCCGUGCCAGCAGCCGCAGUAAAAC
rnacentral:rRNA from 1 species